rnacentral:rRNA from 1 species
UACGUAGGGUGCAAGCGUUAAUCGGAAUUACUGGGCGUAAAGCGUGCGCAGGCGGUGAUGUAAGACAGAUGUGAACUCCCCGGGCUCAACCUGGGAACUGCAUUUGUGACUGCAUCGCUGGAGUGCGGCAGAGGGGGAUGGAAUUCCGGCGUGUAGCAGUGAAAUGCGUAGAUAUGCGGAGGAACACCGAUGGCGAAGGCAAUCCUCUGGGCCUGCACUGACGCUCAUGCACGAAAGCGUGGGGAGCAACAGG